UACAGAGGUCUCAAGCGUUUGUUCGGAUUCAUUGGGCGUAAAGGGUGCGUAGGUGGCGUCGUAAGUCGGGUGUGAAAUUUCGGAGCUUAACUCCGAAACUGCAUUCGAUACUGCGGUGCUUGAGGACUGGAGAGGAGACUGGAAUUUACGGUGUAGCAGUGAAAUGCGUAGAGAUCGUAAGGAAGACCAGUGGCGAAGGCGGGUCUCUGGACAGUUCCUGACACUGAGGCACGAAGGCCAGGGGAGCAAACGGG
rnacentral:rRNA from 1 species